AAUCUUGAUGAAAAUCCUUUUGUUAAACCAUAUAAUCCCUAAGAGCAUGAUAUUUACCUUAGGAGAGUACAAUUCUCAAUCACAAGAAGCACAACCAAUUUUAACGUGACAUUCGUUCAAAAUUGCAUCCGAUAACUUUUCUAAGCAUCCUAAUGGUGAUCAAUCAUCAAGACAUAUAGAUAGUUUAAUUCAGUGAUUGAAAAUAUCAAAACAAGCAUGUAACAACACUUAAGCAAUUGAAAAAAUAAAUCUACGUAUUCAUGUU
rnacentral:lncRNA from 1 species